rnacentral:rRNA from 1 species
UACGUAGGGCGCAAGCGUUGUCCGGAAUUAUUGGGCGUAAAGAGCUCGUAGGCGGCUUGUCACGUCGGGUGUGAAAGCCCGGGGCUUAACCCCGGGUCUGCAUUCGAUACGGGCUAGCUAGAGUGUGGUAGGGGAGAUCGGAAUUCCUGGUGUAGCGGUGAAAUGCGCAGAUAUCAGGAGGAACACCGGUGGCGAAGGCGGCAUCCUGGACCAAUUCUGACGCUGAGGAGCGAAAGCCAGGGGAGCAAACGGG